CAGCCGCCGCGGGAAUACGGAGGGUGCAAGCGUUAAUCGGAAUUACUGGGCGUAAAGCGCACGCAGGCGGUUUGUUAAGUCAGAUGUGAAAUCCCCGAGCUUAACUUGGGAACUGCAUUUGUGACUGUAUAGCUAGAGUACGGUAGAGGGGGAUGGAAUUCCGCGUGUAGCAGUGAAAUGCGUAGAUAUGCGGAGGAACACCGAUGGCGAAGGCAAUCCCCUGGACCUGUACUGACGCUCAUGCACGAAAGCGUGGGGAGCAAACAGGAUUAGAUACCCCGGUAGUCCCUGUCUCUUAUAC
rnacentral:rRNA from 1 species